rnacentral:rRNA from 1 species
UACGUAGGGUGCAAGCGUUGUCCGGAAUUAUUGGGCGUAAAGAGCUCGUAGGCGGUUUGUUGCGUCGGCUGUGAAAUCCCGAGGCUCAACCUCGGGUCUGCAGUCGAUACGAGCAAACUAGAGUGUUGCAGGGGAGGCUGGAAUUCCUGGUGUAGCGGUGAAAUGCGCAGAUAUCAGGAAGAACACCCGUGGCGAAGGCGGCUCUCUGGUACGUGACUGACGCUGAGACGCGAAAGCGUGGGGAGCGAACAGG